rnacentral:rRNA from 1 species
UACGUAGGGUGCGAGCGUUGUCCGGAAUUAUUGGGCGUAAAGAGCUUGUAGGCGGUUUGUCGCGUCUGCUGUGAAAAUCCGGGGCUCAACCCCGGACUUGCAGUGGGUACGGGCAGACUAGAGUGUGGUAGGGGAGACUGGAAUUCCUGGUGUAGCGGUGAAAUGCGCAGAUAUCAGGAGGAACACCGGUGGCGAAGGCGGUGCUCUGGGCCGUGACUGACGCUGAGGAGCGAAAGCGUGGGUAGCAAACAGG